UACCUGGUUGAUCCUGCCAGUAGUCAUAUGCUUGUCUCAAAGAUUAAGCCAUGCAUGUGUCAGUAUAAGUAUUAUAUAGCGAAACUGCGAAUGGCUCAUUACAUCAGUCAUAACUUAUUUGAUAUUUGAAAGUUACAUGGAUAACCGUGGCAAUUCUACAGCUAAUACAUGCGUUCAUACCCAACUUUACGGACGGGUAGUAUUUAUUAGAUAUUAAACCAAUCCUUCGGGUUGUGAUGAUUCAUAAUAACUGAUCGAAGCGAGGAUUUCCUUGCUAAAUCAUUCAGGUCUCUGCCCUAUCAGCUUUAGAUGGUAGUGUAUUGGACUACCAUGGCUAUAACGGGUAACGUAGAUAAGGGUUCGAUUACGGAGAUGAAGCCUGAGAAAUGGCUUCAACAUCUAAGGAUGGCAGCAGGCGCGAAAAUUGCCCAAUCCCGAUUCGGGGAGGCAGUGACAAGAAAUAACAACUCAGGCAUUGUCCCAGGGAUUGUAAUGAGAAAAAUGUAAAAAACUUAUCGAGUAUCAACUGGAGGGCAAGCUAUGGUGCCAGCAGCCGCGGUAAUUCCAUCUCCAGUAGCGUAUAUUAAAGUUGCUGCAGUUAAAAAGCUCGUAGUUGAAAUUCUGUCCGGUUGAGCGAUUUCCACUUGGUUAUCGCCUCACCGGGCAUCUGUCUGCAAUCAUUUUCACGGCAUUCACUUGUCGGGAUUGGGAGCAGGCGUUUUACCGUGAGAAAAUUAGAGUGUUCC
rnacentral:rRNA from 1 species